rnacentral:rRNA from 1 species
GAUGAACGCUGGCGGCGUGCUUAACACAUGCAGGUCGAACGAAGCAUUUGCGACAGAUUUUUUCGGAAUGAAGUUGCUUAUGACUGAGUGGCGGACGGGUGAGUAACGCGUGGGUAACCUGCCUUGUACUGGGGGAUAGCAGCUGGAAACGGCUGGUAAUACCGCAUAAGCGCACAAUGUUGCAUGACAUGGUGUGAAAAACUCCGGUGGUAUAAGAUGGACCCGCGUCUGAUUAGCUAGUUGGUGAGAUAACAGCCCACCAAGGCGACGAUCAGUAGCCGACCUGAGAGGGUGACCGGCCACAUUGGGACUGAGACACGGCCCAGACUCCUACGGGAAGCGGCAGUGGGGAAUAUUGCACAAUGGAGGAAACUCUGAUGCAGCGACGCCGCGUGAGUGAAGAAGUAAUUCGUUAUGUAAAGCUCUAUCAGCAGGGAAGAUAGUGACGGUACCUGACUAAGAAGCUCCGGCUAAAUACGUG